UUGCAGGAGUCUGUCAUGGGGCUGGCUCUGUUUCACAACUUAAUGACUUGCAGGAGUGGAUGGAGUAAGCUUGCGGAUGAUACCAAGUUCAGUGGGGUAGCAGAUACUUUAAGACAGAAUUAGGAUUCAAAAUGAGUUGGAUAAAUUAGGGACGUAGUCUGAAAUAAAUUGAAUGAAAUUUAGUAAGGGGAAGUGUAAAGCACUGUACUUAGGAAGGAGCAACCAAACACAGGAAUAUGUACAAAAUGGGUGAAUGACUGACUGAGCUGUCACCAGCACCGCAGGGCAGACCUGAAUGCAAGCUGAAGGAGUCAACUGGGUGAUAUUGUUACUGAAAAAACUAAGACGGGGAUGUUUUAACAGGAGCGUUAUGCACAAGUUGCAGGAAGCAGUUCUGCCACUCACUCAGCAGUGUGGAGGUGUCAUCUGGAGCAGUGUCCGGCUUUGGACAACACACUCCCAAAAGAUGCGGGAAACCUGAAGAGUCCAGAAGGAAACAACAAGAACUAAGGAGCUCCCGAUGGGGAUGUAUCUGGCCACAUGCUGAAAGUGUUACUCCAACAAACAGCUGAAGGCAGCAGAGAAUUUGCUUACAAGGGCUGCACUGUGCAUUUGGACAAGCCUCACGGGAACAGCCCCUGCCUGGGUAGGGAUGUACAUUGCCAGAAGCUGCUACUUCUUUGAAGAGCUGCCAUCAACCGACUUUAGGCUUGUGUGGAAGCCUCUGUGCAGAGGGGCAGGUAAGUUGCCCAGAUUCAUAAAAGGGU